GACGUAGGGCGCGAGCGUUGUCCGGAUUUAUUGGGCGUAAAGAGCUCGUAGGCGGCUUGUCGCGUCGAAUGUGAAAACUCGGGGCUCAACUCCGAGCUUGCAUUCGAUACGGGCAGGCUAGAGUUCGGUAGGGGAGACUGGAAUUCCUGGUGUAGCGGUGAAAUGCGCAGAUAUCAGGAGGAAUACCGGUGGCGAAGGCGGGUCUCUGGGCCGAUACUGACGCUGAGGAGCGAAAGCGUGGGGAGCGAACAGG
rnacentral:rRNA from 1 species